CAUCGGUUCCUCUUGGCUUGUCUCAGCCACUGCAGACUUUGGAAGGUAGGUCCCCUCACCACGACACUGCCAACGCCUGCUGCCGCUGCAGACUUUGGACCUGAUUGUUUAUUUAGACUCACAGUGUCUCCUGCUCCUUCCUCGCCCAUGCCCUGCCUACCUGGGUGCCUGGUACCUGCGGGCUCCGCCCCCGUCUCAGGAGCACCUGUGGCUGCGUGCUGUCUGCUUGUUCUUCUUGACAUGACUCCUGCAUCUGUAGCAUUUGUUUGGUCCUUCUUGAAGAAACGGACUUGCCACGCCAACCCCUUGCCUGUCUGGGUCCCAUGCCUUCAAAGGGGGCCAGAUACACCAUCCCAAAAUAUGCUACUGUGGCAGGAGGACUAUUUGGGGCUGAAGGCAACUGAGAGAACGUGAGCACAGGAAGGCCUCUCUGCUCUCCUGUUAUCUGCCUGACACCAGGGCAUGGCCUCCCCUUGUGAAGGUGUCCCAGGCUUCUCCUGUACCACGAUGGGGAGAACAACCCUUAUCAUCAGAGAUGGAGACUCUGCAGGGUGUACCAAGACAUAAACCGGACGGAUGGAAUCUGGAUCUGGAAGAUCAUCUCCGGCAAGCACCCCUCUGAUGAUGAAAUCCCUUCUAGAUCUUGUUGGCUAUUUCUGUACCGCUCUGGAUUUGGGAAGUUUUUCCUUACGUUAAGCCAAAGACCCUAUUGCAA